rnacentral:rRNA from 1 species
UCUUUCUUUGCUGGCGACCGGCGCACGGGUGAGUAACACGUAUCCAACCUGCCCUUUACUCGGGGAUAGCCUUUCGAAAGAAAGAUUAAUACCCGAUAGCAUAAUGAUUCCGCAUGGUUUCAUUAUUAAAGGAUUCCGGUAAAGGAUGGGGAUGCGUUCCAUUAGGUUGUUGGUGAGGUAACGGCCCACCAAGCCUUCGAUGGAUAGGGGUUCUGAGAGGAAGGUCCCCCACAUUGGAACUGAGACACGGCCCAA